rnacentral:lncRNA from 1 species
UGUUGCCAAUUUCAGGAGCAAAAGCAGAUUAAAUGUAAUCUUUAGAAACAUUUGUACUUCGAUGGGUUGACGUUAUUUCUUACAUAUUUUACCUUCAAUAUUAAACUGUACAAACAACAGCACAAAUAAAAUACAUGACAUUUCCCAAAACUCAUAUUUACAUUUCUUUACUGAACAAAAUAGCAUAAUUACUUGUCAAGUUUCAAAACAAUUGAUAAUUCUUUCAACAUCAAUACUACUAAAAAAAUUGAAAUUAUAAAUCAAGUAAAAACAUUCCAUGCUAUUACCACCAACACUGAUUUUGUUCAUCAUUUUGUCAACUGUUCCACCUUUCACUGAAAAGUAACUUCCAACCUUCAAAGUUAGAUAUUGGUCAAUAUCCUAUGAGAAAAAAUAGCAAUUAAAUACACCAUUUAUAAUAUGUAUAAAAUAACUUACUAAUAUUUAUUCAUAAUUCUUACUCUACUGUAACAACUGAUUAACAAUCUACAAUAAAAUAUUUAUGAUGCACCUAUAAAUGCUCUCAUCAUUGAUUAAAUAUUUAAGAAAAUAGGUCUAUAUAACUCUCAGAAAUUUUGUGAUAUCGAAAUUAUGAGUAUGAAAAUUAUCUAAAAUGCUGCAGGCCUGCAAUUGUUUUGAAGAUUAGUUUGGAUAAAAAUAUGUACAUGUAAUGGGUGAAAAUGAUCGACUUAGGCGAGAAUUCGACUUACAAAAGAAGGCUUAUUCACAGAAAUUUACACACAAGUCUAUGGGAGAAAAUCAGGACUUUUUUCCCUCAUCGACCUAGCCGACAUUUCGACUGAGACAUGGUCUACUUAGGCGGAGUUGACUGUAUACGCUUAAGGGUGGUUCACCAAGCGUCAUAUGUAUAUCUCAUUCUGCAUUUUUAAUUCCAUACAUUCAGCCAAUGAAAUUCACAGACUUGAUGACGCAUAGCAAUUAACACACAUAAUUGCAAUUUUAAGGUGGUACAAUAUAAAACUCAAACUAAGAUUCCAUACCCUUUUAUUCUACUGGAAAACUAUUUAAUUUUUUUUCCUGGGAAUAUUUAUAUUAAAAAGAACUUUCACAACAUGUUCAAUUAAUACUUUCCUUAAGCAGUGUUUUGUUAAUUUUCACUACAUAAGUCACAAAUGUAAUCAGCACUAUCACUUUUUAAAUCAGCACAUCGCUCAUGACACCACUCUCCACAAACAGAGCACUGGAUCCAGUCUUCAGUGAUCGGUUCUUUGUAUUGUUCAGAACAAAAUAUGCACCAGUAUUCAGAGUCUGUCAAGGUUGUUUGCUUGGCAACCUCUUUCCCUUUUCCAGCUUAUUAGGACUGACCCUUCCCUCCUUUUGCACUUGCCUUCUUCUGCUUGGUUGAUUCGACACGAGAAGCUUUCUGUCUUUUAUUUUGCAACUUCUCGAGGACUUUGCUUUAUACGGACUGCUGGUGAGCAACUCUGCCUUGCCUGUCGUUCGUUUACGUGACUUCUCACUACGGUUUACUUUUGGAAUCGGAGAUAUCACUUCAAUGGAGGCAUUUGCCUUGGUAUAGACAUCUCUUUAACUCCUACAGAAAUCAAUUUGUCACACAUUCUGGUUAAAACCUCGACUGAGAGAAAGUCAUGUUAAUUAUGUGGGAAAAUGCAUCUCACCUGUCUCCACUACGACUAAAACAAAGCAGACACAGCUGAACUGCAGGAAGGAACAUCGCAUUGCACAUCUGUAUGUCCGACGUUUGACCAGGAAGGGAGGGAUCACAGUAUGAUCGUUCCUGUUUGGGUAAGGCAUGUGGAUCGACCAUCAGAGAAGACACUAGAAUAUGCCAUUCUUGAUGACCAGUCAAACGCGAUCUCUUUAACUCCUACAGAAAUCAAUUUGUCACACAUUCUGGUUUUACUUAUAGGAUAGGUUAGGAUUCAUCAGAGGAUGAAGACUGGGUAUCAGGUGACUCAUGUGUUGGUCUUGCCUUCCUCUCUAUUCCACUGGGUCCUGGAUCCUUGGUAUUGGAUAUUGAUGGCACUGGGGAGGUUGAAGGGACAUCGGGACACGUCUUUACCCCAACAUCUCCAUCGACUGCAUCAGUUGGAGACUUCUCAGGCAUUUUCUUUCAGUGACUUCCGAUGGUGAAUAGUCCGACUCAUCAAAUCAGGAUUGAAUGGAUAGAUGCUGGUACACUGGAACCCCUUGACUCCCUUUUCAACAGAGGCGCAUCUGUCGUACGCAUCUCUUACAAGCUCCGCAAGGUCGUAUUGCGUGAUGCGUUUUCCUGGAUUGGUCACCAUGAAUUUGUUACAUUCUUGUUCGUACAAGGUUUUCAGAGGACCGAAGAAUGUUCGGUAAAGUGGCUGUGAUUUGUGGCUGGUGUGGGGUGGGAUUCUUAUCAUGACAAUUCCAUUUUCUCUUGCUCGGACAAUAGCAUCGUACGAGCAGUGGCUCACGUGUUUAUCCAAAAUGAGCAGGAGUUUGUCUUCUUUUGAUGGUUUGGCAUGCUCAAUUAGAUGAUCCAGCCACUUUGGAAAUAGUUCACUAUUGAUCCAACCACUGUCCGAACAUAACCCGAACCGACAGGAGCAUUGCGCAGCAACUGAGAGUUCAUAUUUUUUUAUGCAAAGAUGAAAACUGGAGGUAUGAAUGACCCUGCAGCAUUCAUGGCACAGACAAGUGUAGUUGUCUGACCCUUCUCACCCGAAGUAACCAUCCCAACCUGCUUUACACCUUUCUUUGCGAUAACUUUUGAAGUGUGGUUAGGCACUGUACUUAUCCCAGUUUCGUCUACAUUUAAAAUGCGUUGGGGCUCAAAAUGAUGCUCCUCAAAAGCCUCUCGGAUAAGGUCAAAGAAUUUGGUCAUUUGAACCCUAUUGAAUCCUGUAAUUCGACUUAAACUGGUCUUUUCUGGUGUGCGAAAAGAGAGCUCAGGGUGACAAUGCAUAAAUUGUCUCAGCCAAUCAGGCCCAGCUCUCUUUUUUUCUAGACAAAAAGGAUACUUGAGGUUGUUCUUCUCAGCAAACUGGAAGGCAAGUGAACACAGGCCCUCUGCUGUCAAUCCGUACAUGAGACUUUGAAGUUUUAAUGCAUGUUUUACGAGUUCCUCUUCCAUCUCCUUAUUGAAUACUGUAAUGAAAGCACCUGUCUUUCCUGUCUCAACAUUUUCUUUAAAUUAACGCUGCAGGGUGGACUUUGGAAUGUCAUAUUUUUGUGCAGCCUCCCGAACAGAUACACUCCCAAAUCUAACAUAAUCAGCGGCUCUCUCCAGGUUUUCUUUGCUCCCUGUGAAACGUUCGCUCUUCCUCUUGUAAUUCCGGACCAUUCUGAAACUGAGGAACAAAAAAAUAAGCACAUAUUAUCAACAGAUAACAUGAGGGGUCAGGAUGGGACACUGUCCCAUCCUGCCCCGAGAUGACUGUCCCAUCCUGCCCUAUGUACACACUGCACUUUCAAGUAUAACACAUUUCACGUAAGAAAACACGUUCUGUCACAUUUUGUAAAAUAACAUUGAUCUGUAUACUACGGAAAUCACAAGAAAUCAACUUAAUAUCUUUCUUCAUAUUAUGUCAGGGAUACUUAGAACACUUACCAACUGAAAUGUUGUCGUCUUCAAAAUCUGAAUUUUGCAUUUUUCCCUUUGAAGUUUAUGAGAAUAUCGGGUUAACUGGAUGACAUAAUGGCGGCAUCGAAAAGUGUUUUUCAUCAAUUCGGGCUUUGGCUCCCCCUGCAGCUUACAAGUGGAAUUAUGACCGUGUCUCAUCCUGCCCCUUGUCCCAUCCUGCCCCACGUUCCCCUACUUACAUCAUCGUUAGAAACAUUGUUGAUGUAGAUUUCAUAACUUGUGUUAGGUAGCUCUUUACAAAUUACGUUGCUGAAAAGAAACAGCUUCUCUCCCUUAAAUAUCUCCACAAAACUUUCCAGCAGAAAGUCAAAAGACGCCAUUUUGGUGAUCUGCACAAUGUCAUACGACCAUUCUCGACCGAUAUCAAGACAACUGGUAAUUUCAAGCUCGCUGUUGACCUUUUGGUGUUGGUGUCGGGUCAGUUUUAGAAUCGGCAUAAA